ACACUGCUGAGGAGUCCCAUAAUAGGACAAAACAGCCGUCCAGUAC
rnacentral:hammerhead_ribozyme from 1 species